GCCUGCGCUCCACUCCAAAGCGUGCAUCUUGGAUAAAGGUGCUCGAGGACAGACGAGAGGGAAAUUCCAAGAAUUUUAUAAUUAGGAAUAUCCGCUUCAGAUUAUUACCGUCAGAUUGCGAAUGGAAGACGACAGCCGUGACCGGAUGGAGCGGUUGGUUGAGCUGCAGCAGCUCCACUGCUUCUGAAAGGGAGGGUGACAGCGACGGUAGAUCAUUGACGCUCACACCCGCAUGCAGGGCUGGAUCCAGCACCAAAACCGGCGCAGCAAUGCAGCGGGAUAGCGUGCAUUCUGGCUCCUCCCUGGAGUUGCUGUCUGGCCUCUAUCAGAUCCAUCAGCAGGGUCUCGUCUGACCCAUUGACCCACGUGUACACCAGAUCGAUGGGGAUGGGUGUGCAAUCUCUGCAGAUUCGUGGGCAACAAUCCACCACUCCAGGAACCCUUCCGCCCGUUGAGUGAGUCAAAAUCAAGGUCAUUGCCGACAUCGCCACAUCACCUGCCCCACUCGACCCCCUAGCAGCGCCUUUUGAGCCUGAGGCAUCGGAAGAAGAACGGGAGCAGGCAGAAGACUCACUGUUAGCCACUGAAGGGGGUGACGUGCUAGUAACCUCUCCCCCCAGGUCAUAGAAGAGCGAGACUUUAGUAACUUACACACAUAGUCUCACAGCCCAGAAGAAGACGCCGAGAGGGAUCAUCCCCCAUUGAGCGGCCGUCUGCCGUCAUGUAGAUCUACCAGACCUGCUCAACUGCUGUAUCAUACAUCCAAAGCUGUCAUAUAUACUUACUUGAGACCAGCUUAUGUACUUAUUGUUAUACAACUUCUCUUACUUGUUUUCAGCAUAACUAUCGUUGUCGCUGCAAUAAGUGAAAAGUUUGAUGUUGAUCCCCAUUUUGUUACCUAAAUUACUCUGAUUUUGAUAGACGGAAGGCAGGAUGUUACACCCAGCAGUAUUCCCUGACAGACUGGUACUUAGGCUUGUUCUAAUGUCCUUGUGCUUCAGUCCUUCCUUCCCGACGACAGUGACUGACAAGUGUCUUAGAACAUAUGGUGGACUUGAAAUAGACUGGAUCAAGGGGGACAGCAAGACUUACUUUUUUGACCUGUGCAGUGUGAUUGAUUGCGAGGGACAUAAUAACUAUUACCGUGGAACCAACCUCUAUCUUUGUUACGACUCCACCCUGAGAUAUUGGUGUCGGAAGCAGAAUACAUACUCUAGGGGGGGGUGCCCCUGGUGGAAGCAGGUAACCCACUACACAGGGCAUUGGAAUCCCACUAGCCCCUAUUAUUACAUCAAAACUAUUUGGGAAGCGAUGACCUUUCAGAGGAAUUUUGAUCGUUCCCAGAAUCCCCUCGCCUUACAAUUGCCAACGUGGGUGUCAUGCCCAAUUGGCCCAGUCCGUUUCAUGUUGUGUUAGGGGUUGACCUGACUGGUACAAAUUCUAAAUGGAUUAUUAAAAUUAACGUCCUUGAGAGGGCGUUAACUACCUCUGCCCCCUCUGUAGCACCUAAAGUGCCACUCCACCUCGGUGACGUUUCAAAGGCUCUCACAUCUGUAUAUACUAAUGACAUCACCACUGAAGACCUGGCAGCUUUGACCCUAGGAACGAGUGCAGGCAACCUGUGGCUCAGGUGGAUGACUAGCAUGGACAAGAGCCAAAACAUGGGUGAUUGUGUUUCUUGUUCCGCUGGACGUCCCUUUCCCCACACUUACCCCACCCCUUUUAGGUUGACUGACGCAAAUUGCUAAAACUGUCUUAUCUCCUUGUUUUCUGAGCCCACGCCGCCAGGGUGCGGUCUGUUGGCUAGUGUGUACCCUCCUGUUGACAAUUCCACCCAAUGUGGCCCAAAAGCUGAAUUACACGUGUUUUCAAUUUUCCGGGGCCCUCUAUUAUUAGUAUUGUGGGGAGUACAGAUUGUACAUUAGAAUCUCGAUGUCAGCCGUUGGGCUUUGUGCUAUGCUCAGACUGGUGACCGCAUCCUAGCCAAGGAAGAAGGUGUGUGUGCAAUGUUUGGUAACCAAUGCUGUACCUUCAUUCCUAACAACACCCCCGAUGGCUCAGUCUAGAGGGCCUUAGAGGGCCUCCAAGCCCUGUCUAAGGACCUUAGUGAAUUGUCCGGAGUCUCUGACCCCUUCAAAGAUUGGCUUUAAGGCACCUUUGGCAGGUGGACUGACCUAAUUAGGUCUGUCCUGGUCUCCUUUGCAGUUUUCUUGGCCACUCUAGCCUCAUGCGGUUGCUUUAUCGCACCUUGUGCUAGGUCUCUAUGCACCCGCAUCAUUGUUAGAGCUGUAGAAGGUCAACCCCACCCUGUUUCUGGGUUUGCUAUGUCUCUGAAGGGGGUCAAGCAAAGUGAUGACUUUCGAGAAUUGCUAGUUUCCCUCGCUGACCAUGACGACUUUGACAUGGACUCCCUCCAUCCAUCUCCCAUGUAACUAGGCUUUUAUUUUAGUGCGAGCAUGCUAAAACUUUAAUGUGGGGCAGGUGCUUUAGAAGUUUUAUAAUUGUGUUAGAGAUCUUUUGUAGAAGAUCUGAAGGUGGAUUGACAGCGAUAGAUAUCUUUUUAAAUCCUAGUCAUUUUUGAAAACAGCUAAGUGUUGGGCAUGCGUAUACCUUGAAGCUUGGAAUGUAACUAGCAGCCAUAACACCCUUCUUAUCUCAAAUUUCCCAGGCCUAGAAGGAGAAUAGAUAUGUGGAUUCACUCUGGAGGGGAAGGGGAGAAGGGGCAAUUGAAAUAGUGUAAAAGGCAGGACUUCCGUAGUAUUAGCAGAUCAACUAGGGCAAUGCGAUUUGAAUGUGUUGUGCAUAAAUUUGGUCUCCCAAAGCUUUGGAAUAAAGGUCAAAAUAAGCUAA